CCACAGCCGUGCUCCAUGCCCUGGGGCGUCGCGGGGCUGUCCCUGCCUGGGCAGCGCAGGGCUGGGCUGUGUUCUCCGGCCUCUCCCGCAGCCCCUCAGCUCGGGCUGCGCUCGCUCUUUGCCAGGUGCAGCCGUGCAGCGCACACGAGAGCAGGAACGCACCCGUGGCUGCUUCCGCAGAACAGCGCAGGUACCUGCAGCCAUCCCCACCUGGGCUGGGCCUGCUGGCACUGCUCAGCCCAGCACUGUGCUCGGAGCACUCCAUGCAACAUCCCGGGCUUCUUGCCCUUCUGCUACAGAUGGUUUGCAAAUUCAUAAAGAGGAUUCAGGAGGAAGAGAGCAGCGUCAUGGGCACUGUGGUCAGAGCGUACUCUCCCAUCUUCAAAACCAAGGCCAGUGCUGCCCUGCUGGAUAUGCUUGUGGAGGAGGGUCCUUCCAGCCCAAAGCAAAGCUGCUUUGGCCAUGUGGAAGAGCAUCAUGUGCUCGCCCAGGACUGCAGAGCCGGCCAUGCUCGUACUCCUCGAUGUGCUGGGGAGCUGGCCAGAGCACAGCACGUGCACCUCCGAUGGGGACCACACGGCUGUCCUUGCCCUGGCUGUGAGUUUCUGCCUUUGCUGGCCCCAAGGCCACCCCUCCAGCAGCUCUCCAUCCUCCCUCCCCCACGGCGUCUCCCUGCCUCAGGUGCUGGGCUGAAACCUGGCCUCGGGGCAGCUUCAGGGCCACCAGGCCCGGUGCUCCCCCUUCGGUGCUCCCCCUGUGUCUCUCCGGGCCUCUCCCUCCCGUGCUUGGGCCCUGCCACACGGACACCUCGACACUGAGCGCUGUCUCGAGGGGCUUUGUCCUUUGCAGGCAACCGUGGUGAUGUGGAAGAUCCUCCAGCUGCCCUGUGUCCCACAGAUGGUGACCUUGUAUUUCCCCCGCCUGUUUGUCCAUCUGCUCUUCCAAGUGUUCUUCAGCACUCUGGAUAUGACAGAGGAGGUCGAUACCUUCUGGGAGGGAUGCCAGCAGCAACACGGCCUUGCCUCCAACCCCAGCCGGUGCUCCAUGCCAGUCCUCCUGUCCCUGCCAUGUGCCCAGGGCAGG
rnacentral:lncRNA from 1 species